rnacentral:rRNA from 1 species
GACGAACGCUGGCGGCGUGCUUAACACAUGCAAGUCGAACGAUGAACCCGGAGCUUGCUCUGGGGGAUUAGUGGCGAACGGGUGAGUAACACGUGAGUAACCUGCCCUGGACUCUGGGAUAAGCGUUGGAAACGACGUCUAAUACCGGAUAGGACCUUGGAUCGCAUGAUCUGGGGUGGAAAGUUUUUUCGGUCUGGGAUGGACUCGCGGCCUAUCAGCUUGUUGGUGAGGUAAUGGCUCACCAAGGCGUCGACGGGUAGCCGGCCUGAGAGGGUGACCGGCCACACUGGGACUGAGACACGGCCCAGACUCCUACGGGAGGCAGCAGUGGGGAAUAUUGCACAAUGGGCGAAAGCCUGAUGCAGCAACGCCGCGUGCGGGAUGACGGCCUUCGGGUUGUGAACCGCUUUUAGUAGGGAAGAAGGGCUUCGGCUUGACGGUACCUGCAGAAAAAGGACCGGCUAACUACGUG